CUCAGGAAGAUGAUAUGAUUGAGGUUCUAGAUUUCUCUAAGAUUACUGAAGAUAUUAUCACUCAGCAACAAUCUAGCUUUGGGGCCAUUGGGGACACAACUCUCAAUGAAACUAUGGAGAAGACUGAGAAAUCAGUUGAUGAUCACGUACAGAUAAACAAAGUUGUUUCGUUUUUUUUCCUGAUAUAUGUUAGUGUCUUUUUGUCAAAGUAUGGUAUUAUAAGGAUAAGCUUUGAUGUUCUUUUCUAUUAUAUAACUAAUCAUAUGUUAUUUGAUCUUUUUUUUGAGAUGUAAUGCUAUGACAUUAGACAAGUAAGGGAUACCUUGACUUUUGUUUCAGUUAUCAUAUAUUAUUAUUAGAUGCCAGCACACUUUUUCUAGUCUUUUAUUUUUUUAUGACCAGUUUUAUUGAUAUCUAUAUAUAUAUUGAUCUUGAUCAUUGUUAUAUAUAAAUGUUGUUGUUUUUUUCUUCCGAAUCACAAUAGUGCACUUAUUAUGUGUUUUUGUUAAUUAAAAACUUUUACUUUACUUCACAUGAAUAAAUCAAAUCAAAUAUUAAAACAAAAGUUUAUUUCUAGCACUCAACAAUUUUGAUAAAAUGGUAUUAAAAUAUACCAUUACCAUAUUCUUUUAAUGUUGUAGGAUAUAACUGCCCAACAUUGAGUAGUUGAUGUACUUCAAAGUUCUGUGAAAGGUGUGGAGGAUAAAACACCAGAAAUUGAAACCAAAACAGUAAAAAUUGUUUAAUGAGCUUUUUUAUUAUAUAAACCUAUUGAUUUAUUUAUAUAUAUGCUAUUGAAUUUACAUUUCCAAUUAUAAACCUGUUUGUUUAUUUCAUAUAAAUAUUUUCUUAUUUAACUUAUUCGAUAUAAAAGCGAUAUUAUUUUUGUAAAAUUGUAUGUAUAGUUAAGUAAUCUGAUUGAUUAAGUCAAAUUUUAUUUUAUCUAUUACGUUUCUUUAUUGUAGGAUACAAUGGUCCAACUAUUUUAAUGAUAGGCAAUCUUAGAACGGUUGACCCAAUACAUAAUUCUGGUUUUUGUGUAGGGGACAAAACGCCAUAAAUUAGAAAGAAGAAAAAGUUAAUGAUGAAAUUGAAAUAUUUAUUGAUGACGAUGUGUGCUUUAGUGCCGAGGAUCUUAAAAAGUUGGACGAGCAGGUUGAGAGGCUUAACAAGCGAAAGAAAUUCACUGAUAAGGGGGAGGUGUGUUGUCGUAUGAUGAUAGUGAUGUUGUCCCGACAAAAAGAGCAAUAAAACCUAGUUCCAAGUUGUCCCACCCAUUUAUAAUUGCUUUUAGAUCUGACGCGGGCCAUGAUAAAAAAAAGAGAGUAAACCAUUCCAGCAGAAUGUGUUGAGGAUUGAACCUUAUUAUGAGAUGGCAAUUGCCAAAAUAGAUAACAAAAUGUUGUUUUAUGAGCUACACUAUAACAUCCCAAAUUUUCUAUUCAGGCUUAGUGCCUUGAUUAGUGUGUCGGGAGAGCAUAAACAGAUAUUAUGUGCAUUUUAUAAUUAUAUGCAUGAUUAUGUGAAUUAUGUGAGUUAUAUGAUAUGACUAUUGUAGAAUGUUUAGGUGUAUUAAGUAUGCAUGUGGGCCUGUUUCUUAUUAGAAUGAGUAUUUUCGUAAUUUUGACCCGUUGAUGGUAUAU